AAAUUCACCAAAUUCGGGAAAACAGUUUAUUAUCUGUGCCAUAAUGAAACUUGUUUAUUUAUACAUUUAGUACACACAAAUGUUUUCCAUAAUCAAACUUCAGAUAGAUGUUCACAAAAUAUGACUCUGAUACAAAUAGGCAACACAGCAACGGUGUAUUCAAUUGGCCAAGUAAUUCUGGGGAGAGAGGGGGUGCACUUUGCUCAGUGCAUCAUGUAGUAGAUGGAUUGGAGCCAAUAUGAAUAAGGGCUGAAUAUCUCACUGAAAGGCAACGGGUCCUUUGAAACCUCCAAGUCAGUCCUGUCAAGAAAGCAGAGGAAUAAGUAAGAUUAAAUGGACAGGAUUUCAUGCAUGGAAAUUAACUGUUUUCUUACUGUUCUAGGGCCAGGUUCAGCUCCACUGUUCUGCUCAGAGUUUCUUUGAUUGACACAAGCAUCCCUGGGGAGUUGGUGGAAACCUCUGUGAUCUGCCUCCUGUGACAAGGUGACAUGCGGACGGCUGACUUGGAGACAGGAGUGAAAGCAGGAUCCAGCAGAGACCUGAGUGAAGACAUAAUGCUUGAGAUAACACCUGCAGCCAAGAAUAGAGCGAUGCUGAUGACACCAUGCCCUUCACCUGCACCAGCACCUUGGCUGUAAAAAGGGCCACCAGAGACCACUGGGAGGGAGCCCUAGGAGUGGUGUUCUCUGGACUCACCGUACACAUGGAGGUGACUCCAUCCCUGCCAGUGCAAACCAUGAUGGGUUUCACUGUGCCUCCCCAGCAGCUAGGCUUGGAGCAAGUGCAUAAGCUACCACCAGCAAAAGGCCCUGCUGCAGGUCAUCUGGAAGAGCUCCAUUUGCUGUGAAGGAAGAGAAACAAAGGCAUCAUACUACCAGCUGUCACUGAAACCACCUCGACAUGUUUCUCCCAGGAUCUGGAUACUGUCCCUCCUGGUAAGAAACUCCCUAGGGGCUGUACUAAAGAAGCUGUAUGAUCCAUUCCUUAGGUCCAUUCUUAAUGGAUGGCCUUAACUUAAGAAGGUCUCAUUGUUAGAGAAAUGAAGGGCUGCUCUUUGUUCAGGCGGUUGCAAUUUACUUAUUGCUCUGGGAAUUGCCUCUUGAGCUGGGCUGACACUUCUGCUGAAGUCUCUGAGGUUUUCUUCACAUUACAUCUACUCCUUUAUGUGUCUUUUGGGUUAUUCAGCAGGGUAUGUUAGGAUAAGGAAAGUCACCAGACUGCACACUGUUAACAUUUGUAUUGCAAUAGCUUCUAAAAGCUUAGUACAAGGCCCUCUAGUGCAUUACUAGCCCCAUUACAAGCAAAAUAAACUCGAAGGCAGGGAAAAACCACACUGUUGAGUGAAGGGGCCUGAUAAACUACCUCACUAUGCUGAGAUUGAGGGGAUCUUGAGCAGCAUCAAGAACCUUUUCCCAAUCAAUCUCAAAGGAAAAGGGAGUACGGAAAGCUUUUGUUCCACAGUUUUGCAAACGGCCAA